CCCUAGCCCCGAUAGAAACGGCAUCCUUUUUUGUUGCGGCGGAGCGAAGCGGAGCCGUAACAAAAAAGAUAUAGUGGAUAGCGGGAAACAGC
rnacentral:sRNA from 1 species